AAAAACAUUUCAUAAGAAUCCAAUCUUUUUCCUUUGUUACCGUAGUUAACAAACAUGAUCCAUCCAAAGUAUCAACAUAACGAAGACAAGUUUUGUGCUCUUUAAAAAAAAGAAAGGGAGGAAGGACUAUGAACUGGAUGAGUCAGACAAAUUAUAGGGUUCAUUCUACACAUUGGUUUAUUUCCAUAUCUAAUGAUCUAUGCCUAGCAUUACUGGCUGAAUCGCUUUCUCGGGUUGCUUCGUUAUACCGUACAAUAGAAGAAUAACGCAUUUCCAC